CUCUACUACUUCACUACUGAACAACACGGCGGAAAUUCGGCGAAAACUCGUCGUUGUUAUCCAAGGCUUUUCUCUCUCUUUUGACUUGAAUUCAUCAGAUAUGGUGGUAAGUAAGAUGCUAAUAAAAAAGAGCAUUUAGAGGGGACUACUAAAAAGCUUAAAACUUUAUAAAGUUAGGCAGUGUUUGAAGAUGAUGGCGAUCUCGGGUGAGGAGUCUAUCAUGAACGAAAAUGCAUGUUUCUCAAAAGAAAAUUGUAUAGUUAACAAAUUGGCUGUUCCAAUUUCUUUUAGAAUGUAUGUAUAGUUAAUUAUUGGGAUCACUUAAGAUUUGGGACUAUGUAUUGAUAAUACAUUUCACUAAACUCUAUGUAAUGAUUAUUAUAGCUAUAAUGGGUAUUUACAUAUUACAUUGAUAAUACA